UCCGAAUUGGUGUAGUGGCUAACAUUUGACGCUCUCAAAACAAACUGUCUUGUAAACUCCCUCCCCACUUGAUAAAAAAGAGUUGGGUAAGGUUGUCAAUAGAAUGUGGCGGUGCCGUCAAGCCCGGGGUUCGAUUCCCCGAUUCGGAG